AGAGACAUGGAAAAAUAUUAAGUUAAAACUCUGUUUGGGACCCCCCCAGAUGCAGUGAAUUGGUGAACAAGUGAGACCAUCAUAUGAUAGAUUUCUCUUACAGGCUUUACAGCUAUUGAAAUAUCUUCUCUUUUCUUCACCCCCUUUUACAAACACCACCUUCUUAAUCUUUUAAAGGCCUUCAUAUUCUCCCUCCUCCCUCUCUCUCCUUUGUAUUCAAACAUACAGUCCGAUGGCUUCAUCAAGAAACUACCCAAAUGGGCUAAGCAUUGCGGCCAUCAUGCUGCUCAUCAUCUUGUCCCUCCCACUUCUUCCUUCCAGAUCAGUUGGGUCAGAGUCUUCGGAAGAUGGUGAGAAUUUGAAGCAAAUGAAAAUGGUGCUGGGAUCAAGGCCCCCCAAGUGUGUCAACAGGUGCUUGAGUUGCAGACCUUGCACAGCAGCUCUAGUCAUUCCUCCCCCCCAUAAAAAUGGGCUCGAGGCAUUCGCUCAGGAAGAUGAGAGCUAUUACCUCCUCUCUUGGAAAUGCAAGUGUGGAAAUAAGUUAUUUCAACCUUGAAAACCAUUCAUACACCCUAAGCUGAGGAUAUUCCCAUGUACAUAACAAGAUAAGAGGUAGCUAGUGUGCUGCAGAUAACUGUUGAGCUUCUUCAUGGUUUGGACUCACAAACUCUUCCAUGUUAACCAGCUCUCUCUUGUCUUGAAUUUUGAUUCAUCUGCUUUCGUCA